ACUCCUACGGGAGGCAGCAGUGGGGAAUAUUGCACAAUGGGCGCAAGCCUGAUGCAGCCAUGCCGCGUGUAUGAAGAAGGCCUUCGGGUUGUAAAGUACUUUCAGCAGUGAGGAAGGCGGAGUCGUUAAUAGCGGCCUCGUUUGACGUUAGCUGCAGAAGAAGCACCGGCUAACUCCGUGCCAGCAGCCGCGGUAAUACGGAGGGUGCGAGCGUUAAUCGGAAUUACUGGGCGUAAAGCGCAUGCAGGUGGUUUGUUAAGUCAGAUGUGAAAGCCCGGGGCUCAACCUCGGAAUUGCAUUGAAACUGGCAGACUAGAGUACUGUAGAGGGGGUAGAAUUCAGGUGUAGCGGUGAAAUGCGUAGAGAUCUGAAAGGAAUAACCGGUGGCGGAAGGCGGACCCCCUGGACAGAUACUGACACUCAGAUGCGAAAAGCGUAGGGGAG
rnacentral:rRNA from 1 species